rnacentral:tRNA from 1 species
GCUCUGGUCGUCUAUCGGUUUAGGACACUGCCCUCUCAAGGCAGAAAGCUGGGUUCAAUUCCCGGUCGGAGCA